AUUGAACGCUGGCGGCAUGCUUUACACAUGCAAGUCGAACGGUAACAGGCCGCAAGGUGCUGACGAGUGGCGAACGGGUGAGUAAUGCAUCGGAACGUGCCCAGUCGUGGGGGAUAACUACUCGGAAGAGUAGCUAAUACCGCAUACGAUCUAUGGAUGAAAGCGGGGGACCGUAAGGCCUCGCGCGAUUGGAGCGGCCGAUGGCAGAUUAGGUAGUUGGUGGGGUAAAGGCUGACCAAGCCAACGAUCUGUAGCUGGUCUGAGAGGACGACCAGCCACACUGGGACUGAGACACGGCCCAGACUCCUACGGGAGGCAGCAGUGGGGAAUAUUGGACAAUGGGCGAAAGCCUGAUCCAGCAAUGCCGCGUGCGGGAAGAAGGCCUUCGGGUUGUAAAGUGCUUUUGUACGGAAAGAAACGGCUCUGGCUAAUACCCGCGGGUAAUGACGGUACCGGAAGAAUAAGCACCGGCUAACUACGUG
rnacentral:rRNA from 1 species